rnacentral:rRNA from 1 species
AGCGAACGCUGGCGGCAGGCUUAACACAUGCAAGUCGAGCGGGCGUAGCAAUACGUCAGCGGCAGACGGGUGAGUAACGCGUGGGAACGUACCUUUUGGUUCGGAACAACACAGGGAAACUUGUGCUAAUACCGGAUAAGCCCUUACGGGGAAAGAUUUAUCGCCGAAAGAUCGGCCCGCGUCUGAUUAGCUAGUUGGUGAGGUAACGGCUCACCAAGGCGACGAUCAGUAGCUGGUCUGAGAGGAUGAUCAGCCACAUUGGGACUGAGACACGGCCCAAACUCCUACGGGAGGCAGCAGUGGGGAAUAUUGGACAAUGGGCGCAAGCCUGAUCCAGCCAUGCCGCGUGAGUGAAGAAGGCCUCGG